AUUCUUUUAGUACAAAAAGUAUAAUUGGCCUCCAACCAAAAGAUUAAAACAUUUAAAAGAAUA
rnacentral:tRNA from 1 species